rnacentral:rRNA from 2 species
AACGAACGCUGGCGGCAGGCCUAACACAUGCAAGUCGAACGUGAAGCCACCUUCGGGUGGUGGAAAGUGGCAGACGGGUGAGUAACGCGUGGGAACGUGCCUUUCGGUUCGGAAUAACCCAGGGAAACUUGGGCUAAUACCGGAUACGCCCUUCGGGGGAAAGAUUCAUCGCCGAAAGAUCGGCCCGCGUCGGAUUAGCUAGUUGGUGGGGUAAUGGCUCACCAAGGCGACGAUCCGUAGCUGGUCUGAGAGGAUGACCAGCCACACUGGGACUGAGACACGGCCCAGACUCCUACGGGAGGCAGCAGUGGGGAAUAUUGGACAAUGGGCGCAAGCCUGAUCCAGCCAUGCCGCGUGGGUGAAGAAGGCCUUAGGGUUGUAAACCCCUUUCAGCGGGGAAGAUAAUGACGGUACCCGCAGAAGAAGUCCCGGCUAACUCCGUGCCAGCAGCCGCGGUAAUACGGAGGGGACUAGCGUUGUUCGGAAUUACUGGGCGUAAAGCGCGCGUAGGCGGAUUUGCAAGUCGGGGGUGAAAUCCCGAGGCUCAACCUCGGAACUGCCUUCGAUACUGCAAAUCUCGAGUCCGGAAGAGGUGAGUGGAAUUCCUAGUGUAGAGGUGAAAUUCGUAGAUAUUAGGAAGAA